GAAAUGCGAUAAGUAGUGUGAAUUGCAGAAUUCAGUGAAUCAUCGAAUCUUUGAACGCACAUUGCGCCCCUUGGUAUUCCAUGGGGCAUGCCUGUUCGAGCGUCAUUUGUACCCUCAAGCUCUGCUUGGUGUUGGGUGUUUGUCCCCGUCUCCGCGCGUGGACUCGCCCCAAAGUGAUUGGCAGCCGGCGUACUGGUCCCGGAGCGCAGCACAUGUCGCGCAAACGAGUGCCUUGGUACGGCGGCGUCCAUAAGCCCCUCUCUCACGCUCUUGACCUCGGAUCAGGUAGGGAUACCCGCUGAACUUUAGC
rnacentral:misc_RNA from 1 species